rnacentral:rRNA from 1 species
AGUGAACGCUGGCGGUAGGCCUAACACAUGCAAGUCGAACGGCAGCACAGUAAGAGCUUGCUCUUACGGGUGGCGAGUGGCGGACGGGUGGGGAAUACAUCGGAAUCUACUUUUUCGUGGGGGAUAACGUAGGGAAACUUACGCUAAUACCGCAUACGACCUACGGGUGAAAGCAGGGGAUCCUCGGACCUUGCGCGAUUGAAUGAGCCGAUGUCGGAUUAGCUAGUUGGCGGGGUAAAGGCCCACCAAGGCGACGAUCCGUAGCUGGUCUGAGAGGAUGAUCAGCCACACUGGAACUGAGACACGGUCCAGACUCCUACGGGAGGCAGCAGUGGGGAAUAUUGGACAAUGGGCGCAAGCCUGAUCCAGCCAUACCGCGUGGGUGAAGAAGGCCUUCGGGUUGUAAAGCCCUUUUGUUGGGAAAGAAAAGCAGCAGGUUAAUACCCCGCUGUUCUGACGGUACCCAAAGAAUAAGCACCGGCUAACUUCGUG